UCUAUACGCUUCUUAGUAAGCGUAAUCUUCGCUGGUUUGUUGAAAAUGGGAAGGUUGAUGGAUGGGAUGAUCCUCGAUUUCCAACUGUCCAAGGAAUUGUACGUAGAGGUUUGAAAGUUGAGGCAUUAGUGCAAUUUAUUCUUGAACAGGGGGCGAACAGGGGGCAUCAAAAAAUCUCAACCUCAUGGAAUGGGACAAACUUUGGACAAUUAAUAAGAAAAUCAUAGAUCCUGUUUGUCCCAGACAUACUGCANNNGGCGUGUGUUGUUGACCUUGACUAAUGGUCCUGAGAAUCCAUUUGUUCGUGUCAUACCAAGGCACAAGAAGCAUGAGGGUGCUGGAGAGAAGACCACAACCUACACAAAGAGGAUAUGGAUAGACUAUGAUGAUGCAAACUCCAUCUCAGAAAAUGAGGAAGUAACCUUAAUGGAUUGGGGGAAUGCCAUAGUGGAGUGGAAAUGUUACACAGUUGAUUGGGGUUUUGCAUCUUGAAGGAUCUGUCAAGACAACAAAGUUGAAGCUUACUUGGCUUCCUGAGACAACUGAAUUAGUUAACAUCUUCCUGAUGGAGUUUGACUAUCUGAUAACAAAGAAUAAGCUGGAAGAAGGAGAGAAUUUCCUUGAUGUGCUUAACCCAUGCACCAAGAAGGAGACUGCAGCACUAGGGGAUUCUAACAUUCGAAACUUGAAGCGUGGAGAGAUAUUGCAACUGGAGAGGAAGGGUUACUUUAGAUGUGAUGUUCCUUUUAUCAGACCUUCAAAGCCUGUAGUUCUGUUUGCAAUUCCAGAUGGCAGGCAGGCAACCUCAUCAAAGUAGACCUUGACAUUUGACUAAACUAUUUUCUGGUUCUGAGAAGUUGAAGUUAAACUUCAUGUUCUUCUUGAUUAUAUGGGGAAGAAUUGGAGUUUUCAACUCACUUCCUCUAGUGUGUGGACAUGCAAAUUUUUAUGGAAAUUUUUGAUAAAUCUCCUACCUUAUUCAUGUUUCUAUACGUGUUAUGAAUUAACGUAUGCAUUUUUUUACAAAAAUG
rnacentral:misc_RNA from 1 species